CCAAAACACCACCUGCCAACAACACCAACUUUUAAAAUUAGAGGGAUUGGAAUUGUACUGUAUUUCUUCUCAUUUAUUUUGUAAAAUAUAAUUGGUUCAUUUAAAUAUAUUUUUUUAACACAGGCAGAAAGUUUUCUGCUGUCUUUGGGAGUAAAUCGGCGCAUUUCUCUGGCAACAAAGACAUUAGAAGAUCUGAUGAAUGCUUAAUCCUAAACUUUUGACUUUGGCAGGAGUGGCACGGCGGCUUUCUAAAUUAUGACAUUCUGGAAAUAAUGAUUGAGUGAAAGUCUGAAGUCAAAGACAAGGUGGAUGACGAGGUGGAAGCCAGCGUAACACGUGAACGAUACAAAGGAUGUUUCCAGCUUUGUUCAAAGUUUCCAAGUUGUAGGGUGCACUGCUGUUUGCCUAAAGUCCGCUUGUUUUUACAGCUAAUACAUUUCAUUGAAGCAAAGAA